AUGCUCCAGAAGUUCGCGCUCGCGUUCAAGACCAAGACCAUCGAGUUCUUCGCCGAGGAGGAGGAGGACGAGGAUGCCGCGGCGGGGGAGGGCGGGGUGCUCGCUGGCCAGCGGGUGCUCGUACUGAAGCCCGACCCGCAGAACCCUAGUAGCCCCGUCGGCGGGGAUGGGGGGACCGGGUCGGCGUCCGGAGAGGAGGCCGCCGUGGCCGCGGCACUCGCGACGACGUCGUCGUUCCAGGCGGCGUACCUGCACCUGCAGGCGGCGCACUCGCCGUUCCUGCCGGAGGCGGCCGCCGCCGCGGACGCCCUCGCGGUCUCGCACCUCCGGCGGCUGUCGGAGCUAAAGCGGCUCGCGUCGGACGCGGCGGAAGACGGCUCCCUCACGGCCCACCUCGAGGACCAGGUGCGGGAGAACCAGGCGCUGCUGCGGUCGUUCGACGCCGUGGUGAACCGCCUCCAGGCCGCGCUCGAUGCCAAGGACGCCGCGGCGGCCUCUCUUCGCUGGGAGCUCGCGGCGCUGGCGGACGGCAACGCGCGCCUUGCCGGGCGCCUCGACCGUGCCCUCGCGCCACAGCCGGGUGCGGGCGGCGGCGACGCCUUGGGCGCCAUGCUGUCCGCGAGCGUCUUCGAUUCCGUCCUGCGCGACGCUCUCCGCGUCGCCCACCGCUUCACCCGUGCCCUCGCCGAGCUCCUCCGGUGCGCUGGAUGGGACCUGGCCGACGCUGCGGCAGCUGCCUACCCCGGUAUUGCCUACUCCAAGCAUGGCCACUGCCGCUACGCUCUCCUCUCCCGUGUCUGCCUAUCCAUGUUCGACGGCUUUGACUCGUACCAGUUCGGUGGCACAAGCGAUGCCGCAGCCCUGGAAGGAAUCGAGCUUGCAGUUCGCAGGAAUGAAUCGUUGCAGCAAUUCAUCGAGCACUCUGAUGCAGACCCCAUGGAGCUCAUGAGUUCAAGCCCAGACUGCGAAUUCUCGCAAUUCUGUGAUCGGAAGUACAAACAGCUCAUCCAUCCAGGCAUUGAGUCCUCACUGUUUGGGAAUCCAGACUGCAGGGCAUUGCCGGUGAUGGCUACAGCCGGUCCACUCUACGAGUUGUUCAUCACGAUGGCAAGCUCCAUAUGGACACUUCACAGAUUGGCCUGGGCGUAUGACCCAGCAGUCGGCAUAUUCCAGGUUAGCCGGGGCACAGAGUACUCAUCGGUGUACAUGGAGAGCAUUGUUCGGCCGAAAGCAUUCUCAGCGAGCAAAGAGGUCGGGAAGACGGUGCGCCCGAAGGUCGGGUUCACGGUGGUGCCGGGCUUCCGGCUCGGCGGUACGGUGAUCCAAUGCAGGGUGUACCUAGAGUCCUAG
rnacentral:rRNA from 1 species